UGUUCAGUGGCUCAGUUCGUUAGAGCGCUGGUCUAGCAAAUACGGAAUCGUGGGUUCGAAUCCCUCCAAAACAC
rfam:Aedes albopictus isolate Foshan contig295, whole genome shotgun sequence.